UACAGGGGGGGCAAGCGUUGUUCGGAAUUACUGGGCGUAAAGGGCCAGUAGGCGGCCAACUAAGUCACACGUGAAAUCCCCAGGCUUAACCUGGGAACUGCGUGUGAUACUGGAUGGCUUGAAUUCGGGAGAGGGAUGCAGAAUUCCAGGUGUAGCGGUGAAAUGCGUAGAUAUCUGGAGGAAUACCGGUGGCGAAGGCGGCAUCCUGGACCGACAUUGACGCUGAACGGCGAAAGCUAGGGGAGCAAACAGG
rnacentral:rRNA from 1 species